AGGAUCUCCCCUGGUGAUGGGACGUGACAUACUCCAGAAUGGUGAUGGAGUGUCUAGGACACCACCUGUAAGAUCACUGAGAUGUAUUAAGACACACUUUGAAUAGUAAUGUAGGUGCCAGCCAAGAUUCAAUGGUCGCUCACGAUAUUGAAGGCUAAAAAAGGAACAAUCUAAAGUUCACAAGUCCCAGUGGUAUCUACCCCAGGUUAUUGAGAGAGGCAAGAGAGGAGACUGCUGGGGCCUUGACUCAGAUCUUUGUAUCCUCAUU